GGGUAUGUCUGUAGAUGGCGCUACAUUUUGAUUGCAGAUCACAAAUAUGAAGUUCGAUUCUUCCGUACCCU
rnacentral:tRNA from 1 species